rnacentral:lncRNA from 1 species
CGUACCUCAUAUGUGUUAUUUUCAUGUCCCGGAUCAAUGCAACUGUACAGAUGAGAUGAUUUUUCCGCUGAUUGGUGAUUUUGUUGGUCAAAUCAUAAUCAGGCACCGCACCAUGAACCCGGGUACAAUGCAUGUACUGAAAAUGUACUCUGGAAUGAUCAAGCAAGCAUAUGAGUAAUUGGAACAAGGGGAUGUUACUGGACAUUUGCAUGGUAAUUUUACUAAAAACACAAAAAAUACGACCCUGCCAGCUCUUGCAUUAUGAUUUUUUGCCACUUCUAAAUAAUUAGCAAUGUUUUGUUAGUGACUGAUAUUGAAAAAAGUAUUGUUAGCAUUAUCAAAAAUCGCAUUUACUCGCGUGUUUCUAUGAAUGUUUUGAAGACAGAUGAAACAAACACUAGAAAUCGUCUACAUGCAGAUGUUUAUGCAAUCCCCAGCAGCUCACAUUGUCACAUAAUUGAGUCGGGAUUCUGACAUGAUUGUUGCAUCAUAUCUUACUGCGGUUAUUAUGACAUGUAGGAGUAAAACUAGGCGGAAGUAUGUUGUGGACCUGAGCCCUAAAACAAAUAUGAUGUAUCUUUGCAUGUUACUCUUACUGGUAUUUUUUCUGCAAUGUCUUUUCCUUAUGAUAAAAAGAAAAGGAACUUCAACGUGUGGAAACCCUAAAUUCACGCUGCGAACUGGCCCUACUUUUUUGCCCUUUGAUCUACCAAAGUUGUGUGUGUGGAAGUGGAUGCAUUAAGCAACCCUAGUUGUGAAUGACCCUUUAAGCUUGUGAUUUCUGACAGAGGAUUUUUAGGCCAAAAAUGAAGAUCUGCUUGUCGGAAAGAUCAAAUGGAGGCAAAUUAGUUUGGUGUGUCAAGGCUCUACACUAGAAUUGCUUUUGCGUAUAAUGAACAAGAUAGUAGCAUACGUUCAGUAUCUGGGACGGAUUCUGGAGGUGAAGGUAAUAUAUGGAACAAAGUUCCAACUCGGCUACUCAACUUUAGUGCUAAUACUACUAGGACAGAACUCAGGGAGCUCGUGCCCCUCGGUCCCAAAGUGGCUCUGUCGUUAUACAUUAAAGCACGGAAACAAACAAGUGGCUUGUUAUGAAACAGAGUAGUCCAUAGAAAAUGGUUGGAAUCUUGAAAAGAAGAUGGGGAAGAAGAACAUGGACCAGAUGGGAAUUCAUCCUUUUGUUUUGUGGGAGGUCAGCAAAGGGUGUACUCAUGGGUCCGAUUUCUGAUAGUUACCGCUCUUGAGUGCUUCUUAAUCAUACACCCUCAGGCUUCAACUUGCCCUCACUGGCAUAAUUUACUAUUUUGGAUCUUCUGAUAUCCCUUCCAAGGUUGUACCUCUGGGAAACAUAACAUCGGGCUCAAUCAGAAGUCAUUUUAUAACUGCGAAAUGUGACAGCUUGAAUCUUGUUGUGCUCAUUAGCAUCACAGACAGCA